rnacentral:lncRNA from 1 species
UGUGAGCAGGCGGGCACUCCAUAUGGGCACGUGAGCAGGCGGGCACUCCACGUCGGCACGUGUGAGCAGGCGGGCACUCCACAUCGGCACGUGAGCAGGCGGGCACUCCACAUGGGCACGUGUGAGCAGGCGGGCACUCCGCAUCGGCACGUGUGAGCAGGCGGGCACUCCGCAUCGGCACGUGUGAGCAGGCGGGCACUCCGCAUCGGCACGUGUGAGCAGGCGGGCACUCCACAUGGGCACGUGAGCAGGCGGGCACUCCACAUGGGCACGUGUGUGAGCAGGUGGCACUCCACAUCGGCACAUGUGAGCAGGUGGGCACUCCACAUGGACACGUGUGUGAGCAGGCGGGCACUCCACAUGGGCACGUGUGAGCAGGCGGGCACUCCACAUGGGCAUGUGUGAGCAGGCGGGCACUCCACAUGGGCACAUGAGCAGGCGG